UAAAAAAAUCUAUUCAGAAUAAUAUAUAUGAUUGCAUAGAAAAAUUCUAGUUUAAGAUAUAAUCAAACAUAUACAGAUAUAUAUGUUGCUCAGAAUAGAUCUGAAACUCUGUCAAACAAAUUCAGAUCUAAACUUGAUUCUAAUAUCAAUUCUAUAAUUAAAAUACAUCCAUAAAAUUCUAUCAAAAAUAGAUUUAAAUCCAUAUAUAAUCAGGUAUUAAAUUAGAAUAAAAAUCUGCAUAUAAAUUCUGCUAAAAACAGAUUUUUAAUAGACCGCUUUUCAGGAGCUGAUUUCGAUCUGAUAAUC
rnacentral:lncRNA from 1 species